CCCUACGGGGCGCAGCAGUGGGGGAUAUUGCACAUUGGGGGAAACCCUGAUGCAGCGACGCCGCGUGAGCGAUGAAGUAUUUCGGUAUGUAAAGCUCUAUCAGCAGGGAAGAAAAUGACGGUACCUGACUAAGAAGCCCCGGCUAACUACGUGCCAGCAGCCGCGGUAAUACGUAGGGGGCAAGCGUUAUCCGGAUUUACUGGGUGUAAAGGGAGCGUAGACGGCAGUGCAAGUCUGAAGUGAAAGGCAAGGGCUCAACCCUCGGACUGCUUUG
rnacentral:rRNA from 1 species